GCCAGGGUGGCGGAAUGGCAUACGCACUUGACUUAAAAUCAAGCGGUUUUAUCCAUGCGGGUUCGACUCCCGUCCCUGGUACCA
rnacentral:tRNA from 1 species